AUCCAUCUGACGAGUCUCAAAUCAGACAAAAUGCGCAUCCUGGAU
rfam:Schistosoma rodhaini strain Burundi genome assembly, scaffold: SROB_scaffold0011864